rnacentral:rRNA from 1 species
UACGGAGGAUGCAAGCGUUUAUCCGGAAUUAUUGGGCGUAAAGCGUCCGUAGGUGGCACUUCAAGUCUGCGGUCAAAGACCGGGGCUUAACCCUGGAAAGGCCGUGGAAACUGAAGUGCUAGAGUGCAGUAGGGGUAGAGGGAAUUCCCGGUGUAGCGGUGAAAUGCGCAGAUAUCAGGAGGAACACCGGUGGCGAAGGCGGGUCUCUGGGCCGAUGACUGACGCUGAGGAGCGAAAGCGUGGGGAGCGAACAGG